GAUGAACGCUGGCGGCGUGCCUAAUACAUGCAAGUCGAGCGAACGGACGAGAAGCUUGCUUCUCUGAUGUUAGCGGCGGACGGGUGAGUAACACGUGGAUAACCUACCUAUAAGACUGGGAUAACUUCGGGAAACCGGAGCUAAUACCGGAUAAUAUUUUGAACCGCAUGGUUCAAAAGUGAAAGACGGUCUUGCUGUCACUUAUAGAUGGAUCCGCGCUGCAUUAGCUAGUUGGUAAGGUAACGGCUUACCAAGGCAACGAUGCAUAGCCGACCUGAGAGGGUGAUCGGCCACACUGGAACUGAGACACGGUCCAGACUCCUACGGGAGGCAGCAGUAGGGAAUCUUCCGCAAUGGGCGAAAGCCUGACGGAGCAACGCCGCGUGAGUGAUGAAGGUCUUCGGAUCGUAAAACUCUGUUAUUAGGGAAGAACAUAUGUGUAAGUAACUGUGCACAUCUUGACGGUACCCUAUCAGAAAGCCACGGCUAACUACGUG
rnacentral:rRNA from 1 species